rnacentral:rRNA from 1 species
AGCUCCAAUAGCGUAUAUUAAAGUUGCUGCAGUUAAAAAGCUCGUAGUUGGAUUUCUGACGAAACUGCUAGCUGGCCCGCCACGCAAGUGGUGAGUGCCGGCUUGGCGUUUGUCAUCCGUUCGAAUGAUAUGCGUGCUGCCCUUCACUGGGUUGGCGCUGCAUGUUUUCGAUCUUUUACUUUGAAAAAAUUAGAGUGUUUCAAGCAGGCAUGUUUUGCUAUGAAUACAUUAGCAUGGAAUAAUAAUCUAGGACUUUCGGUUCUAUUUUGUUGGUGUUCUGGAGCUGAAGUAAUGAUUGAUAGGGAUAGUUGGGGGUGCUAGUAUUCAAUGGCCAGAGGUGAAAUUCUCGGAUUCCUUGAAGACUAACUUAUGCGAAAGCAUUCACCAAGGAUGUCUUCU